GGGUAUGUAGCUCAGUUGGCAGAGCAGUGGACUUUUAAUCCAACGGUCCUGGGUUCAAAUCCCAGCAUACCCA
rnacentral:tRNA from 1 species